CCUAACACAUGCAAGUCGAACGGGAAGCGGUGCAUAUUGCUUCGGUGAUAAUGUGCCGUGGAGAGUGGCGAACGGGUGCGUAACACGUAGGUAACCUGCCCUGAAAGGGGGGAUAACCACGGGAAACUGUGGCUAAUGCCGUAUAAUCUCGCCGUGGCGGUGGUUACGGUGAGGGAAGCUGAGGCGAUUUGGGAGGGGCCUGCGGUCGAUUAGCUGGUUGGUGGGGUAAAGGCCCACCAAGGCGAUGAUCGAUAGCUGUUCUGAGAGGAAGACCAGCCACACGGGAACUGAGACACGGUUCCGACUCCUACGGGGGGCAGCAGUGAGGAAUAUUGCGCAAUGGGGGGAACCCUGACGCAGCAACGCCGCGUGGAGGACGAAGGUUUUCGGAUUGUAAACUCCUUAACUGGGGGAAGAGAGAGGACGGUACCCCAGGACGAAGACACGGCUAACUAGGUGCCAGCAGCCGCGGUAAUACCUAGGUGUCGAGCGUUAUCCGGAAUUACUGGGCG
rnacentral:rRNA from 1 species